GACGAACGCUGGCGGCGUGCUUAACACAUGCAAGUCGAACGGAAAGGCCCUGCUUUUGUGGGGUGCUCGAGUGGCGAACGGGUGAGUAACACGUGAGUAACCUGCCCUUGACUUUGGGAUAACUUCAGGAAACUGGGGCUAAUACCGGAUAGGAGCUCCUGCUGCAUGGUGGGGGUUGGAAAGUUUCGGCGGUUGGGGAUGGACUCGCGGCUUAUCAGCUUGUUGGUGGGGUAGUGGCGUACCAAGGCUUUGACGGGUAGCCGGCCUGAGAGGGUGACCGGCCACAAUGGGACUGCGAUAGGGACCAGACGGCAACGGGGGGCAGCAGGCGGGAAUAUUGCACAAUGGGCGGAAGCCUGAUGCAGCAACGCCGCGUGCGGGAUGACGGCCUUCGGGUUGUAAACCGCUUUCGCCUGUGACGAAGCGUGAGUGACGGUAAUGGGUAAAGAAGCACCGGCUAACUACGUG
rnacentral:rRNA from 1 species